UCGAGAGGUGCAAGACCUCGGCAUACUGCUCAGUAACACGUGGAUAAUCUACCCUACGGUGGGGGGAUAACCCCGGGAAAACUGGGGAUAAUACCCCAUAGACUAUGGAUGCUGGAAUGCUCUGUAGUUGAAAGGUCCGCCGCCAUAGGAUGGGUCUGCGGCCGAUUAGGUUGUUGUUGGGGUAACGGCCCAACAAGCCUGUAAUCGGUACGGGUUGUGGGAGCAAGAGCCCGGAGAUGGAUUCUGAGACACGAAUCCAGGCCCUACGGGGCGCAGCAGGCGCGAAAACUUUACAAUGCGGGAAACCGUGAUAAGGGAACUCCGAGUGCCCGUAAAAUCGGGCUGUCCAUCGGUUUAAAUAACCGGUGAAGAAAGGGCCGGGCAAGACCGGUGCCAGCCGCCGCGGUAAUACCGGCGGCUCGAGUGGUGGCCACUAUUACUGGGCUUAAAGCGUUCGUAGCUGGUCUGUUAAGUCUCUGGGGAAAUCUGCCGGCUUAACCGGCAGGCGUUCCAGGGAUACUGGCAGACUAGGGACCGGGAGAGAUGAGGGGUACUCCAGGGGUAGGAGUGAAAUCCUGUAAUCCUUGGGGGACCACCUGUGGCGAAGGCGCCUCACCAGAACGGCUCCGACAGUGAGGGACGAAAGCUGGGGGAGCAAACCGGAUUAGAUACCCGGGUAGUCCCAGCUGUAAACGAUGCGCGUUAGGUGUAUCGGUGACCACGAGUCACCGAGGUGCCGAAGAGAAAUCGUGAAACGUGCCGCCUGGGAAGUACGGUCGCAAGGCUGAAACUUAAAGGAAUUGGCGGGGGAGCA
rnacentral:rRNA from 1 species